GGGAUUAUGGUCGAGUGGUCCAAGACGUGAGUUUUAAGCUCUCAUCAGUUUUACUGGCAAGGGUUCGAACCCCUUUGGUCCCA